rnacentral:lncRNA from 1 species
CCAGAGGCAAGGCAGAUUCUUGGUGUCACCGAGCAGUCAUCAUGGGAAGAAAUCUUGAAGGUUAAAUUUUAUAAAGUGCUUUUGAAAUUCAUUCUUAUUGUUUUCCCUUAAGAUUUUGUCGCUCAAGGGUACCUUAUAUGCAGAAAUAUGACAACUUGUUUGAACAAAAUGCCAAAAAUGGGAGCUUUUACCUACAAUCAAAGGUUCACAGAGCUAAGGAAUGCUUAGAAACAGUUUACCAGAAGAAACAUCAGGGGACUGAGGAUUCUUAACCAGCAAAGGUGUACUUAGCUCUCUUGUAUUUUUUUUUUCUUCCAGCCAUUCAAUAGUCAGCUGAGUCUUAUGGCUGAAAUUAUUAAAUUUUGAUCCCUAUUAGUUACCACAGUGGUGAUGUGUUGAUCUUGCAUUCACUAUAGCAUAUUGCUAUUUUAUUGGUGUGGUAAUGUUAUUAGAAAAAGGGUAUAUUUGUAACAUAGUAUGCGAGAUAUUUUAAUGGUUCAACUUCUUAUGUUACAAGAUUGCACUUGUUUUUAUUUAUUUAUUUUUAGAAUAAUGAUAUAGCCACAAACUCUUAUACAAACUGAUGUGGCGUUAAUUUAUUGGUUAAAUUAAAUAUCUCUUGGUCCACAUGAUUUAUUUAUAUUAUUCAAUCGUAAUACAUUUUUUUUACAAAACUUGUGAAAAAGAUGUUUGUCUGAUUAUGGCAACUUCUGUACAUGAACCUGAAGAAACUCUGGUUAUUGGCGAGAUUUGCUAUUGCUUUUGUUAAUACUUGGCCUUUUUUUAAUUAUUUUUCGUUAUUAGUUUUAGAAUGAUUGUUUAGUCGGGAAAACCUACAAAUUUUUGCUAAGUAAUGGGAUAUCUGUAUUAUCUUCAUAUUUUUACUCAUCACUUCAUGACCUAAUUAGUUGUAUUUUAUGGUAAAGUAUGUUUUUUAUUGAUUAGUUUCCUUGGAAAAUCCUGAACAUCUUUUUAUGGAGGUUUUCCAUGACAGAUUUCUACUGGGUCCUUGAAAUGUUAUUUAGUGCUGCUCUUUUCUGCAGUCCUAAGAUACUCCUUUGUACACUUAAAGAAGAAAGAAAGAAGAAUAUUACAGAUAACAUUUGUUGCAUCUGUUUGUACAGGCUGCGAGAAUUAUUGCUCAAUUGAUAGUGAUGGGUUCUGGGAUAAUGGCAAGGGCUGUUGUUCAAGCAUACCGUCAAGCACUUGCGAGUAUGUUUUUUCUCUGUCAAUUACAUAAGUCGAAUAUGCUUUUCUUAACUUUUGAUUAUGUUAUGUUUCAUUGGCAUAGAACUCUUUAAUCCUUAAAAUGUUUGUUACUCAUUGCAGAUGCCUCCAAAUCUGGUGUUGCUCAAGAAACAGUGCAAAACAUCAGGAGGGCAAGCAAAAUGAUGGCAGAACCAGAGGCAAGGCAGAUUCUUGGUGUCACCGAGCAGUCAUCAUGGGAAGAAAUCUUGAAGGUUAAAUUUUAUAAAGUGCUUUUGAAAUUCAUUCUUAUUGUUUUCCCUUAAGAUUUUGUCGCUCAAGGGUACCUUAUAUGCAGAAAUAUGACAACUUGUUUGAACAAAAUGCCAAAAAUGGGAGCUUUUACCUACAAUCAAAGGUUCACAGAGCUAAGGAAUGCUUAGAAACAGUUUACCAGAAGAAACAUCAGGGGACUGAGGAUUCUUAACCAGCAAAGGUGUACUUAGCUCUCUUGUAUUUUUUUUUUCUUCCAGCCAUUCAAUAGUCAGCUGAGUCUUAUGGCUGAAAUUAUUAAA